UGGGGAAUAUUGCGCAAUGGGCGAAAGCCUGACGCGGCGACGCCGCGUGUGGGAUGACGGCCUUCGGGUUGUAAACCACUGUCGGGAGGGACGAAUGCGCCGCAAGGCGAGUGACGGUACCUCCAAAGGAAGCACCGGCUAACUCCGUGCCAGCAGCCGCGGUAAUACGGAGGGUGCGAGCGUUGUCCGGAAUCACCGGGCGUAAAGGGCGCGUAGGCGGCCUGGUAAGUAGGGGGUGAAAUCCUGCGGCUUAACCGCAGGGCUGCCUUCUAAACUGUCAGGCUCGAGCACGGUAGAGGCAGAUGGAAUUCCCGGUGUAGCGGUGGAAUGCGUAGAGAUCGGGAAGAACAUCAGUGGCGAAGGCGGUCUGCUGGGCCGUUGCUGACGCUGAGGCGCGACAGCGUGGGGAGCAAACAGGAUUAGAUACCCUGGUAGUCCACGCCGUAAACGAUGGGCACUAGGCGUCGGGGGGAGCGACCCUCCCGGUGCCGUCGCUAACGCAGUAAGUGCCCCGCCUGGGGAGUACGGCCGCAAGGUUGC
rnacentral:rRNA from 1 species